GAUUUCUGGCUGACCGUCCUGGCCCGCUCCCCUCGGGGGGUGAGUGCUGGUAUGAGUCAUCCAUCCUUCUAGAGAGCCUCGCCUGCCGUUCACUCGGCUGGGCGUGUGCGAUCUAGAUCUUUUACUUUGAAAAAAUUAGAGUGUUUAAAGCAGGCUUACGCUAUGAAUACAUUAGCAUGGAAUAAUAACAUAGGACUUCGGUUCUAUUUUGUUGGUUUCUAGGACUGAAGUAAUGAUUGAUAGGGAUAGUUGGGGGUGCUAGUAUUCAGCGGCCAGAGGUGAAAUUCUUGGAUUCGCUGAAGACUAACUACUGCGAAAGCAUU
rnacentral:rRNA from 1 species